rnacentral:rRNA from 1 species
CCCUUAGAUGUUCUGGGCCGCACGCGCGCUACACUGAUGCAUUCAACGAGUGUACCUUGGCCGAGAGGCCUGGGCAAUCUUUUGAACGUGCAUCGUGAUAGGGAUAGAUUAUUGCAAUUAUUAAUCUUGAACGAGGAAUUCCUAGUAAACGCAGUUCAUCAAACUGCAUUGAUUACGUCCCUGCCCUUUGUACACACCGCCCGUCGCUCCUACCGAUUGAGUGGUCCGGUGAGGCUUUGGGAUCUGGGCGGAAAGAGCGUUUCGCUGUUUCUGCCCGGAAAACUCAGUCGAACCUUAUCAUUUAGAGGAAGGAGAAGUCGUAACA